GAGUUUGAUCCUGGCUCAGAACGAACGCUGGCGGCGUGGAUAAGACAUGCAAGUCGAACGGGAUUAAAUGGGUAGCAAUAUUCGUUUGAUUCAGUGGCAAACGGGUGCGUAACACGUGGGAAUUAACCCGGAAGUGGGGGAUAGCUUGCCGAAAGGCAAGGUAAUACCGCAUGUGGUCGAAAGACUAAAGUGGGGGACCGCAAGGCCUCACGUUUCCGGACAAGCCCGCGGCCUAUCAGCUAGUUGGUGAGGUAAAAGCUCACCAAGGCUAUGACGGGUAGCUGGUCUGAGAGGAC
rnacentral:rRNA from 1 species